rnacentral:rRNA from 1 species
ACCCGCUGAACUUAAGCAUAUCAGUAAGCGGAGGAAAAGAAACUAACUAGGAUUCCCCGAGUAGCGGCGAGCGAAAAGGGAGAAGCCCAGCGCCGAAGCCCGCGGCCUCUGGUCGCAGUGCAAUGUGGCGUUACGGUGGCGGCUUGCCGCGGCAUCUCUGGCACGAGUACCUCUGAAUGGGUCUGCCCGCAGCGGGUGUCAGGCCUCUACUUGCCUGCGAGUUGCCGUGGCCUGCCGUUCAUCGCGGAGUCGGGUUGCUUGAGAGUGCAGCCCAAAGUGGGUGGUAAGCUCCAUCUAAGGCUAAAUACCUAGUGCGAGACCGAUAGCAAACAAGUACCGUGAGGGAAAGUUGCAAAGAACUUUGAAAAGAGAGUUCAAGAGUACGUGAAACCGUUCAGAGGCAAACGGACGGAACUGGGCGAGUUCGUCGCCGCCAUUCAGCCGCCGACGCCCGUCGGCGGUGCACUUGGCGGCGGCGGAGCGCGACGACCGCCUGUCGGGUCGUCAGAAGCCCGGCGGCAAGGUGGCGACGCGUUCGCGCGUCGUGUUACAGGCCGCCGAGGCGUUGGCUGACUUGGCGGGCGAGGAGCGCCUGCGGUGCACUCCCCGCGCGGGAGUGGCCCGUCGCGGUGGGCUUGCGGACGCCGGCGGCGAACUGCGUGCAGUUCGUCGUCGCGCCGUUCCGUCUGUCGCGCCGCGCGGUGUCACGGGGCACCCAGGGUCCGAGUCGCGUGGUUCCUGGCACUCCGUCCGACCCGUCUUGAAACACGGACCAAGGAGUUGAGCACGCGCGCGAGUCGAUGGGCUCGCAGAACCCCAGAGGCGCAGCUAAGGCAAAACGGGCGUGAUCCGGCACUGGCGUGUCGGCGCAACGCCGGCCCGCAGCCGACUCGAUGCGAGUGGCUGCGGCGCAAGAGCGCGCGUGCUCAGACCCGAAAGGUGGUGAACUAUGCUUGAGCAGGGCGAAGCCAGAGGAAACUCUGGUGGAGGCUCGCAGCGAUCCUGACGUGCAAAUCGGUCGUCAAACUUGAGCAUAGGGGCGAAAGACUAAUCGAACCGCCUAGUAGCUGGUUCCCUCCGAAGUUUCCCUCAGGAUAGCUGGCACUCGGGAUAAAUGGUUUUAUCCGGUAAAGCGAAUGAUUAGAGGCAUUGGGGACGAAACGUCCUCAACCUAUUCUCAAACUUUAAAUGGGUAAGAGGCGCGACCCUUCCUGAUCGGGGUCGCGUGCUCGAACAGAGAGUGCCCAGUGGGCCGUUUUUGGUAAGCAGAACUGGCGCUGUGGGAUGAACCAAACGUGCGGUUAGGGUGCCUAACGCACGCUCAUGAGACACCACAAAAGGUGUUGGUUGAUAUAGACAGCAGGACGGUGGCCAUGGAAGUCGGAAUCCGCUAAGGAGUGUGUAACAACUCACCUGCCGAAUCAACUAGCCCUGAAAAUGGAUGGCGCUGGAGCGUGCGACCCAUACCGCACCGUCGGGGCAAUGCGUGCGAAAUGCCAGGCCCCGACGAGUAGGAGGGCGUGUCGGUGGCGUUGAAGCGUAGUGCGCGAGCACGCGUGGAGCCGCCUUCAGUGCAGAUCUUGGUGGUAGUAGCAAGUAUACAAAUGAGAACUUUGUAGACCGAAGUGGAGAAGGGUUCCAUGUGAACAGCAGUUGGACAUGGGUCAGUCGGCCCUAAGAGAUCGGAAAAUUCCGUUCUGAACGGGGGAGGCGCACUCGCCGUCUGAACAAUGACGCCACUUGCGGUAACGUUCAGUGAGGAGCGGCGCUCUGUGUGCGUGGCGGCCCCCGAUGCGAUCGAAAGGGAAUCGGGUUAAUAUUCCCGAACCUGGUAGUGGAGAUUGGGCCCUCGGGCCCCAGUGCGGUAACGCAACCGAACUCGGAGACGCCAGCGUCGAUCCCGGGAAGAGUUCUCUUUUCUUUGUUAGGAGCGGACUCCCUGGAAUUGGCUUGUCCAGAGAUAGGGACGUUGCAUCCGUAAAGCGUCGCGCCUCACGCGGCGUCCGGUGCAUCGGCGUUGGCCCUUGAAAAUCCGAGGGAGGCAGUGUGAUUUUCACUCCAGGCCGUACCCGAAUCCGCAGCAGGUCUCCAAGGUGAACAGCCUCUGGUCGAUAGAACAAUGUAGGUAAGGGAAGUCGGCAAAUCCGAUCCGUAACUUCGGGAUAAGGAUUGGCUCUGAGGUGCGGGCUGCUUCGGGUCGCGGCAAGAAGCGGACUGCGCGUCGGUAGGACUGGACGCGCUUCGGCGCGUUCGGACCGCCGCCGGCGUGCGUCCGUGGGAGGCCGUGGCUUUCGCCGUCGUCUGCCCUCGGGCGGGCGCGCGGCUUCGUUCGGCCUAAACGCACAGCACAGAACUGGCACGGACUCUGGGAACACGACUGUCUAAUUAAAACAAAGCAUCGCGAUGGCCGCUGGUCGGUGUUGACGCGAUGUGAUUUCUGCCCAGUGCUUUGAAUGUCAAAGUGAAGAAAUUCAACCAAGCGCAGGUAAACGGCGGGAGUAACUAUGACUCUCUUAAGGUAGCCAAAUGCCUCGUCAUCUAAUUAGUGACGCGCAUGAAUGGAUUAACGAUGUUCCCACUGUCCCUAUCUACUAUCUAGCGAAACCACAGCCAAGGGAACGGGCUUGGCAAAUACAGCGGGGAAAG